rnacentral:tRNA from 1 species
CGGAUAGCUCAGUUGGUAGAGCAGGGGAUUGAAAAUCCCCGUGUCGGGGGUUCGAUUCCCUCUCCGGC